rnacentral:rRNA from 1 species
CCUACGGGGGGCUGCAGUGGGGAAUUUUGGACAAUGGGGGCAACCCUGAUCCAGCCAUUCCGCGUGAGUGAAGAAGGCCUUCGGGUUGUAAAGCUCUUUUGUUCGGGACGAAACGGUUAAGGCUAAUAACCUUGACUACUGACGGUACCGGAAGAAUAAGCACCGGCUAACUACGUGCCAGCAGCCGCGGUAAUACGUAGGGUGCGAGCGUUAAUCGGAAUUACUGGGCGUAAAGCGUGCGCAGGCGGUUUUAUAAGCCAGAUGUGAAAGCCCCGGGCUCAACCUGGGAAUGGCAUUUGGGACUGUAAGGCUGGAGUAUGGCAGAGGAGACUAGAAUUCCUGGUGUAGCAGUGAAAUGCGUAGAUAUCAGGAGGAAUACCGAUGGCGAAGGCAGGUCUCUGGGCCAAUACUGACGCUCAUGCACGAAAGCGUGGGGAGCAAACAGGAUUAGAUACCCCAGUAGUC